GAUGAACGCUGGCGGCGUGCUUAACACAUGCAAGUCGAACGAACCUUCGGGUUAGUGGCGGACGGGUGAGUAACGCGUGGGAAUCUGCCCUCAGGAGGGGGAUAACGGCUGGAAACGGCCGCUAAUACCCCAUAUGCCGAGAGGUGAAACGAAUUUCGCCUGAGGAUGAGCCCGCGUCUGAUUAGCUAGUUGGUGGGGUAAGAGCCUACCAAGGCGACGAUCAGUAGCUGGUCUGAGAGGAUGAUCAGCCACACUGGGACUGAGACACGGCCCAGACUCCUACGGGAGGCAGCAGUGGGGAAUUUUCCGCAAUGGGCGAAAGCCUGACGGAGCAACGCCGCGUGAGGGACGAAGGCCUCUGGGCUGUAAACCUCGUUUCUCAAGUAAGAAGAUCUGACGGUACUUGA
rnacentral:rRNA from 1 species